AUUUCAGUCAAGAAACGAUUGAAUGACCAAGUGAUGUUGACAAUGUGACUGCAAGAGGAAAGGGGCAUUGUGGUGUUGGAGAUGGCUCAACAAUACACAUGGUUGCAGAGCCUGGCAGUGGCUCUCAAGAACAAGAUGGCUGAGGAGGACAAGGGAAAUGAAGGACUUUGCUGUCUCUUAAGAAGAAGAUCGUCAGUGGUGUCAGAAGGGUUGCAAGUCGUCCUUCAACAAUACAAGACUGCAUUAGGUCUUGAGGUCUCUGUCCUUCUACAUGUUGAAGAAGAAGAUCAAAGUGACCUCAGCAGUCCAGAUACCAGCGAGGAUGAAAACAUAAUUUAGAUAGAAACUGCACAAAGGACUGCGUUUAAGGAAAUGGACUUGGCAUAUAUCUGUGUAGUGUUAGUAUGAUAACUACAUUAAAAUCUGUAUGCAUCCUAUAUUGUUGAAAUGUUCAACCUGUGUCUAGAUUAUCAAGCAUGUUAUUUAGCACGUUGAUGCUCCUUAAAUAUGCACAAACAUCUCAAUAUAGGUGCAAGAAUCGUAUGAUAUUAUCAGAUGUAAUAAUUGAACUGAUGUUAUAUUUGGCUAGUGUAUUCAUAAUUUGUGUAUUUAAAGUUGCUAAUGGGCAUUGUUAGCCACAUCACAAACUCAAUGUUAAAACACUGCUUAUUGUGCUUUAUUGUGUUUAUGUACUUGCAUUGGUGCAGUAAUAUUGAUGUAAUGCAGUAAGGUCAUUGGUGUGUUUUACAAUGGCUUUGAACAGAGCUCAACCAAUCAGAAUAAUCAUUGAUAAUAAAGUAAAAGUUUUAUAACUGGUAAGUUGGUAUGAAAUAUUGUAAGCACAUUCAUCAGGAUGACUUUGCUGACCUUUUGACCUUUAUUACCACAUUUAGGCCAAACUGUGAAAACUACUUGAUUGAGUGUAUUAUAGGAUAUAACUGUUGUGCACCAUUGAAGAUAAACAUCAUAAAUUCUUUCUUAAAGAUGGAUAAUUUGUUGGCCAUGUGUCUGUCACUAUCAGUUCUGUUCUUAUAAGCACAUUGUACAUUAAGCACUAUAGUAUGCAAAAGAAAAAUACACUAUAUUUAUAUUUUAUGAUUAUACUUAUAUUGUGUAUUACUACAUUUGAUAGAUAACUUUAUUCCCCUGUUCUGCUGGUUGUUUUCAAGUGAACUUCACAGUUUAGUGUUAUUAAAUUCAGCCUUAUGGCUUGAUUGACAAAUUUGCAUUUCAUGUAUUUUCACUGCUUUUAUUGUGAAAGACAAAAAAUAAAGUGUUUCUAAACAUGAA